AGAGUUUGAUCCUGGCUCAGGAUGAACGCUGGCGGCGUGCUUAACACAUGCAAGUCGAACGGGGAUUAUUUUGACAGAGACUUCGGUUGAAGUCGUUAUAAUCCUAGUGGCGGACGGGUGAGUAACGCGUGGGUAACCUGCCUCACACUGGGGGAUAACAGUCAGAAAUGACUGCUAAUACCGCAUAAGCGCACGGGAUUGCAUGAUCCAGUGUGAAAAACUCCGGUGGUGUGAGAUGGACCCGCGUUGGAUUAGCUAGUUGGUGGGGUAACGGCUCACCAAGGCGACGAUCAGUAGCCGACCUGAGAGGGUGACCGGCCACAUUGGGACUGAGACACGGCCCAAACUCCUACGGGAGGCAGCAGUGGGGAAUAUUGCACAAUGGGCGAAAGCCUGAUGCAGCGACGCCGCGUGAAGGAUGAAGUAUUUCGGUAUGUAAACUUCUAUCAGCAGGGAAGAAAAUGACGGUACCUGACUAAGAAGCCCCGGCUAACUACGUGCCAGCAGCCGCGGUAAUACGUAGGGGGCAAGCGUUAUCCGGAUUUACUGGGUGUAAAGGGAGCGUAGACGGCAUGGCAAGUCUGAAGUGAAAGCCCGGGGCUCAACCCCCGGGACUGCUUUGGAAACUGUCAGGCUAGAGUGCUGGAGAGGUAAGUGGAAUUCCUAGUGUAGCGGUGAAAUGCGUAGAUAUUAGGAGGAACACCAGUGGCGAAGGCGGCUUACUGGACAGUAACUGACGUUGAGGCUCGAAAGCGUGGGGAGCAAACAGGAUUAGAUACCCUGGUAGUCCACGCCGUAAA
rnacentral:rRNA from 1 species